UACGUAGGGGGCAAGCGUUGUCCGGAAUUAUUGGGCGUAAAGAGCGUGUAGGCGGCCAGAUAAGUCCGCUGUGAAAGUCCAGGGCUCAACCCUGGGAUGCCGGUGGAUACUGUCGGACUAGAGUACGGAAGAGGCGAGUGGAAUUCCCGGUGUAGCGGUGAAAUGCGCAGAUAUCGGGAGGAACACCAAUUGCGAAGGCAGCUCGCUGGGACGUUACUGACGCUGAGACGCGAAAGCGUGGGGAGCGAACAGG
rnacentral:rRNA from 1 species